rnacentral:rRNA from 1 species
GACGAACGCUGGCGGCGUGCUUAACACAUGCAAGUCGAACGGAAAGGCCCUGCUUUUGUGGGGUGCUCGAGUGGCGAACGGGUGAGUAACACGUGAGUAACCUGCCCUUGACUUUGGGAUAACUUCAGGAAACUGGGGCUAAUACCGGAUAGGAGCUCCUGCUGCAUGGUGGGGGUUGGAAAGUUUCGGCGGUUGGGGAUGGACUCGCGGCUUAUCAGCUUGUUGGUGGGGUAGUGGCUUACCAAGGCUUUGACGGGUAGCCGGCCUGAGAGGGUGACCGGCCACAUUGGGACUGAGAUACGGCCCAGACUCCUACGGGAGGAAGAAGUGGGGGAUAUUGCACAAUGGGCGGAAGCCUGAUGCAGCAACGCCGCGUGCGGGAUGACGGCCUUCGGGUUGUAAACCGCUUUCGCCUGUGACGAAGCGUGAGUGACGGUAAUGGGUAAAGAAGCACCGGCUAACUACGUG